UNAAAGAGAUAGGAGUUGAACCUACGUCUAAGGGAUCAAAACCCUUCCC
rnacentral:tRNA from 1 species